rnacentral:misc_RNA from 1 species
AACGCACCUUGCACUCCUUGGUAUUCCGAGGAGUAUGCCUGUUUGAGUGUCAUUAAAUUCUCAAAUCUCAUCAGUUUUAUAACUGACUUGAGACUUUGGAUGUGGGAGUUGCAGGCUUCUCAGAAGUCUGCUCUCCUUAAAUAUAUUAGUGGUUACUGUUUGACCAUAUCCUGGUGUGAUAAUAUCUACUCCAAGGGUUGGUUAAUACUUUAAAGGUAGCUGCUUCGAACGGUCUAUUAACUUGGACAACUUUGAACCAUUUGACCUCAAAUCAGGUAGGAUUACCCGCUGAACUUAA